rnacentral:rRNA from 1 species
AUGAAUCCCUAAACAUCAAAACUAAAAAUGGACGUUUAAUAACGAAAAAUUGUAGGUGAGUAGUUUUUUUGCUGAGAACCUCGAUUUUCCAUUUUAUGGGAGACCAAAUUUCGUUUGAUUGAAGUUUAUUUUAAUCGUUGAUUAAAAUAUAUAAACUUAGUGAAUUGAACCAUCUAAGUAACUAAGGAAAAAAUCAACAGAGAUAUUGUAAGUAGCGGCGAGCGAACGCGGUAAAAAGGCUAUAGAAUUUUCAAUCAUACUUAAUAUUUAAAUAGCCGUAGAAGGAGAAAGCCCUGUAAGGUGAAAAAUUUGAAAAUUUAAAAAAGUAAAUUGAUGCAUGUUAUGCGUUGAUUGAAUAUUGGGGUACCAUCCUCAAAGUCUAAAAGUUUUGAUGCUUGAUAGUGAAUUAGUACUGUGAAGGAAAGGUGAAAAAGAAUUCAUGAAAAUUGAAAAGACAUUGAAAUUUAAUGCUAACAAGCAGUUAGAGCUCUUUAUUACGAGUGACAACGUAUCUUUUGUAUAAUAGAUCAACAAGUUUAUUUUAGUGGCGAGCUUACGCAAAUUAAAAAGUGCAGGCACAAAGAAAUUAAGUUCUAAAAUGUUAAAUGUAGUCUCUAAAAUAAAACCCGAAACUGAGUGAUCUAACCAUGGGCAGGUUGAAUUUGAAGCGGUAACGCUCAUCGGAGGGCCGAACUCGUGUAUGUGGAAAAAUAUUGAGAUGACCUGUGGUUAGGAGUGAAAGGCUAAUCAAACUCAGAGAUAGCUGGUUUUCUGCGAAAUCUAUUUAAGUAGAGCGUUUAAAAUUCUUCAUUUUGAGGUAGAGCUCUCGAUAAGCGAUGGGAAUGAAAAUUUUACUGAAUUUAGUGAAACUUCGAAUACAAAAUAAAAUGUUUUAAGCAGACAGACUAUGAGUGCUAAGAUUCAUAGUCAAGAGGGAAACAGCCCAGACUGAUGGUUAAGGUCCUUGAAAGUGAUUAAGUGGUAAAAACGUAUAAAAACUCUGACAACCAGUAGGUCAGCUUAGAAGCAGCUAGCUUUUAAAGAGUGCGUAAUUGCUCACUGGUCUAGUUUUUUCGCGUUGAAAAUGUAGAGGGACUUAAAUUACUUGCCGAAAUUGUAGAUUUAAGUCAAUGAUCUUAAAUGGUAGCAGAACGUUCUGUAAAUUUAAAAAGGUUUAUGGUGAUAUAAACUGAAGAAAUCAGAAGUGAGAAUGUUGAUAUGAGUAGCGAUAAACAAUGUGGAAAACAUUGUCGCCUUAAGUCUGAGGUUUCCAAAUCAAGGUUAAUCCGUUUUGGUGUAGUUAAUCGGUCUCUAAGAAAAUUAAACGAAAGUUUAUUUUGAUGGGUAAGAAAUUAUUAAUUUUAUAUUUUUUAUAAGUGACAAAACAUUAAUAAUAUAUUUAUUUUAUGGUUUGAAUGAAUGUUUUAUAGUCUUUUCAAGAAAUAGCUUUAAAAAUUAAAACCGUACUUAAACCGACACAGGUGGACAAAUUUAGUAAAUUAAGGCGCUUGAGAGAAUUGCGUUGAAGGAACUCGGCAAAAUGACUUCGUAACUUCGGGAUAAGAAGUAACUUUAUUAGGGUAACCUUACAAAGUUGUCACAGAAUCGGGGACAGCGACUGUUUAUUAAAAACACAGGUCUCUGCGAAUUUGAAAAAAGAUGUAUUGAGGCUGACGCCUGCCCAGUGCUGCAAGAUUAAAGGAAAGGGUCAUUUGGCUCUAACCCUAAACCCCAGUAAACGGCGGCUGUAACUUGACGGUCCUAAGGUAGCGAAAUUCCUUGGCAUUUAAUUGGUGUCCUGCAUGAAUGGCG